rnacentral:rRNA from 1 species
GAUGAACGCUGGCGGCGUGCCUAAUACAUGCAAGUCGAGCGCACGGACGAGAUGCUUGUUCCACUGAUGUUAGCGGCGGACGGGUGAGUAACACGUGGAUAACCUACCUAUAAGACUGGGAUAACUUCUGGAAACCAGUGCUAAUACCGGAUAAUAUUUUGAAACACAUGGUUCAAAAGUGAAAGACGCUCUUGCUGUACCUAAUAGAUGUCUCCGCGUUGCAUUAGCUAGUUGGUAAGGUAAGGGCUUACCAAGGGAACGUUGCAUAGCCGACCUGGGAGGGUGAUCGGCCACACUGGAACUGAGCCACGGUCCAAACUCUUCGGGAAGCCAGCGGAGGGGAAUCUUCCGCAUUGAGGGAAGGCUGGACGAGGCACCGCGGGGUGGGGGAGGAGGGUCUUCGGAUGGUAAACCCUUGUGAUAGGGGAAGACCAUAGGGGUAGGUAACAGUGCACAACUUGACGGUACCUAAUCAGAAAGGCACGGCUAACUACGUG